rnacentral:lncRNA from 1 species
ACCCUUCUUCAUCUUCAAUAGAAACCAACCAUACCCAAAUCAUCCAUUUUUGGUACCAUGAAGCCUUGCAUGUGUUUAUUUUAAAGCUAUUGGUACUGUGAUGUUUAGUUAGGAGCUAAGCAUUGUUAGAAACUUCAUGGAUUUGGGAGGUUUAAGAAAAAGUGUCAGACUUUUGGAUGGAAUCUAUUAGAAGGGAAAAUUCAAUUUUGACCCAUUCCCUUGGAGCUGGCCGUAUCACCCCCACCUCUUCCCCAAGUUCAGAUAUUGAUUUGUAUUGUGGUCAAACACAUGAUUUUGCCUUGAAAUUGAGUGGAGUUAAAGGAGUGGAAGGCUGCAUGUAGCAUCUCUUGGUGCCAAAUGGAUAUGAAAUAAAGUGGCCGAUUUUAGAAGAUAUUGAAGAAUCAAGUGGGUGUCACUAAAGUUCUCAACUGUGUUCUCUUGAAAGGUGGGUUCCUUUAGAAGCUUAACUUUUAGAUUAGUUAGCACCUUUAGUUUCCCCAAAUUCAAUAUAUUUAUGAUAACAUUAGUAUUAGUUAGGAAAUUAGUCUCCCCAAAAUUAUGCAUGACAACAAUAGGAAAGUUAGGAAAUAAUUGUGUGAGAAGGUUUAAUCCCAAAACCAUCUCCAUUCUAAUUAUAUAAUAUAUUUUAGUUGCUUAUGAAUGGACAUGAAUGUGAUUGUAGGUGGAAACUGAUAAACUCUAUUAAAAGUAAAAAGCCGAGAAUUGAACUGGUAUUCUCGCAUAGCGAGCAUCUUGCUUCUCUAAGCGAGCGUAUCAGAUCAGGACUUUGUAGAAUCAACAUUUUAAAUAAAAAUCCACUCGUUUUAUGUCCUUGACUAUUAUGGAAUAUUUCGUAAGCAGCGUAAUAAUUUUAUGUGAUUAGAAUGUUUAUCACGCUCAGGAACUUAGGUUCAGGACUCAGGAUAGUUAGAAUUACCCCGGGAAGGUUUUCUUUCUUUUGGGUAGGAUAACCAUUCAAGAUUAGGAAUUAUGUUUCAGAAUCUAUCAGGAUGUUUGGUCAUUAGUACCAAUAUCAGGAAGCGUGGUCAUUAGUACCAUGUCAGGGGAUUCAUUCAGAAUCCAAAAUCAUGUAAUAAGAACUGUNNNNNNNNNNNNNNNNNNNNNNNNNNNNNNNNNNNNNNNNNNNNNNNNNNNNNNNNNNNNNNNNNNNNGGCACUCCGGGACCGGCUUACCCCGGGGUGAUCCUGUUAUGAUAAAAUUGACAAGAUAAUUAUUAUGUGUGUUACACCUUUAUUGCUUUAUUAUCAUGUUAUGAAAACUUCAGGAUUAUGUCAGGAUUAGAACUAUUAGAUAUUCAGGUUCAGGUUAAAGAUAAAAACUAUUAGUUUCAGUUGCCUCGGUGUAGUCACCAGUAGUUGGGUAGUAGGAGCUCACUGAGGCUUAGUAGUCUCAUCCCAUGACUUUCAAUUUUUUUUUAGGUAAACAGGUUAACCGGAGCAAGGACCAGGCAGGAACUGAUGAUCGAGGUUGAGCUUGGAUUAUCGGACUAGAAGACUAUCGUCUUCUUCUUUGUUUUUAUGUUAAUCUGUUAAGUUAGAAUUUAAUUCUCUUCUGCUGUAUUUUACUGGAUUAUCACAUUAUUAUCGUGAUAUUGUAAAAUUCAAGUAAUUAUUCUGUAAUUUUAAUGUACUCAGAUUCAAUUAUAUAUGUCUCGGCUAAAUAUCUAGACAAUUUAGUUGGGGCGUUACAAUUGGUAUAAGAGCAGGUCGAUCUAGUAUCGGACCUUGCCAUGAGUCAUUAGAAUUUAUUCCUAAGUAGUACGGACCCUUUGGAGUCUGGACUGUUUACGCUGAAACCAUUGCUUGUUGAGCCCGUACAACUCAGUAUCGUAUAUGGUAGACAGGGUAUUACGGUUGAGAGCCGAAGUGGACCUCCUUGGUGGUCGAGUAGUAAGAUCGAAGUAGAAGCGCAACUCAGGGGGAAGCGCGAAUAUCUUUAGAAGCGGAGGUUGGAGCUACUGCAAUCGAUGCCACACGAGUAAGUAGAGUAACACCAACAACAAGUGGCGCGUAGAAUUUGGGAACAGUGCAUGGCUGCGUACCGGUAGUGAAAGGCAUGUCUCGAAGAUGCACGAAUCAGACGUGAUCUAUUGAUAGUAACAUGUAUAAGGAUGUGGAAAAUUCUGGUAAUGGAAAACCCAUUAUCAAAGUAAGUGUUUACCGAAAGGGAAUCGAGACUGGGUAUAGAAGUAAGAUACCCAGAUGUUAGCAGUAAAUCCAAAGUUGAGUAUAUCGAAAGUUGAAUUGUUACACGGAUGAAUGUAGAUAAACCAUUAUACCGAAGUGUGUAGUACAUGAUAGUAUCCAACUGACACUAUGUGUCAGGUAAAAUUUUCCUGACCUAGAAGUAACCACAUUCUCUUGUGAACCUACGUACCAGAAGCAUGUUGAACCAAGUAAGACCUAGCAGUCAAUAGACCGAAACUCUUCCUAAGUACUUAACCUUCCUUGCAUCUAAGAAAUUCAUCCAGUGUUGUUAGACCAAUCAACUACUUGUACUAGAGAAACCAAUUAGAACACAUACACAUACCAAUAAUUUUUUUUAUGCCGUCUUAUUAGACUACCCUCUAGAAUGUCAGCAUUAAAAUGUCCUUAAUAAAAGGAAUUCACUCUUUCAAUUCAUAGACAGUAAUCAUACCAAACCUCUAGAAGCUUAGUUUUAUUUAGUAUAACAAUCAGAAAUUAUCUCUUCACAAUGCAUGUUAUCCAGGUAGGCAAACUAAGUGCUAUCAUUCAAUUGUUCUUGAACUAGUAACUCAGUUCAGUACUAGUUUCAGUCGUUCGUCAAACCAUUCAUGUAUUCAAACCUAUCAGCUAAUGAUUCAACAUAAUCAGUUAAUCCUUCCUUGAUAAGUUUGUCAGCUAAAAACCUGAAUGAGAACCCAGUUGUCCUAACUCGAGAGAAAUGCCAGCAAAAAGGAAAUUAUGAAGUAUGAGUUUGAACCCAGUAGUAGUCGGAUUGUCACCUAUCUUUCCAUGUGAACCCUAACUCAUCGUAAUUCGUCGAGUCAAACAGAUUUUGAUUCUAUAUCCACCAAUAUUAGAAAACCAUGAACGAGCGUGCUUCCCUAACUUGUCUGCUUACGCAUCAUAUAGAUACUUCAUUUUUUUUGUUUUAAUGCCUAUCAACCAUGUGCGACAUGCAAAUUCGAAAUAUCAGUAAGUCAAACUGAUAUGGUAGAACAUCACUCUUAAGUAACCAUGUCAAAUGUCUUCAGCCUUUUAGUUACGUUGAUAAUAACUAGUUCAUAUUGAUUCAAUUCGGUGAAGUUAAGAAGUAGUAAUAAGACCAUCAUUAAUAUGAUCCUUUCAGUUUCAUUCUCUAUAACCAUGUUAGAUCAGUGUUAACUCUGAGUAUCUCUGUCAGAAUAUUUCAGCUUUCUAUAUCUGUCAACGACAAUUAGGUCAAAUCAACAUAAAUUGAAAUUACUCGUAUAGGGUAAUGAAUCACCAUCAAAUGGAUAUUGUUUCUUGAUCUAAUUACUGCGUAAUGAAACCACUAAUCAUCUGGAGUUAAACAACUUAAUUCAGUCUCAGCAUUAGAAGUUCAAACCUUAUGUGUUCAGCUAGCCACAUUAGAACUCGACAGUUUAGUCAAAUCUCCAUCACACUAGCCUGCCAUUUAAAGUCUAAAAAGAUCCAACCUUUACCCGUAAGAUAAAAUUCGAACUCAAGCUCAUCUACAUGUUUAAUGUACAACUAGAUCCCGAUGUUGUGCUAGGAAGGAUUGGAAUGGUAGGUGGAAAUUUCCGAAAGAACUAUGGGUCCGUUUGCAGAUGAGUUUAACUUAUUGGCAAAAGGGGAUUGUAGUAUUUAGGCACUCUUCCACUCGUUUUAUAUUCCAAUCGAUCCUGGAGUAUUUAAACAACGCAUGUGGUGUAGUGGUACACAUGACAUGUUGAGCGCUUGUAGUGUUCGAAAAUGAGAAUAUCCAAUGGAAGGAAGAUUUUUGGAUGUCAAAAUUAUUACUCAACCUUAUAUCCUUCAGAUAACCUUGUAACGUAAACCAUUGGCCCAUGUUUUGGUGUGUACCCAACCAGGCCAUAUACCGACCUUACCAGAUACCGACCUAAGGAAGUGCGUUGAGUAACAAAGUUAUUGCCGGAAGCAAUAAAAGGAGACUAAUUGUAGCUAAGGGUGGUGAAGUGAUAAGCUAAGCAGAGACCAACUCGCGGAGAAUUUCACUGAUUGAAAGUAAGUUGUCGAAAUCAGAGUGCGCAGCAAGUAUGAGCUAAGGAUGUAGUUAGUAAUUUGACUUGUAACUUCACAACCCUUUCAAUCCAAGAAACUGGAUGUAAUUGACGUGAAAUGAGUAAUCCGCGUAUGAUGAGUAAGUACGCCCCCAGUUACACUUAAACCUUGGAUUGAAAGUAGCAUAGUACCCUUGAGAGCAAAGAUGGUGUUAAAAAAACACGGUUCAACUAAGAGGUUUAACGUGGUGAACUAGUAUGAGUAGGUGUAAUCUGGUAUAAUCUGGUAUCAACUACAAGAGAGACAAAGAGACUAAUGUUCCGUAAGCACGAGAACUGUGAACAAGUAACAAGAAAAUAUGCUUAUGGGAUAAGCGCGCCAUAGAGUUGUGGUACUGUACUAAAGUAAGGGUUCAGUUUCAUGAAAGGGACGAAGACACAAGACGGUUACCGGAUGUAAGCGAAGAUGUUCUUGAAUUUCGAGGACGAAAUUCUUCUAAGGAGGGUAGAUUGUAACAUCCCGACUUUAAUUAAUAGAAAAAUAUUAAUUAGAGGUAAUUAUUGGAGAUCAAUUGAGAAUAUUUUUAUCGGAUAAAAAUAAGAAAUUGUGAUUUAAGAAGGAGAAUGGCAAAGUAGUAUUAAGUGAGUAAAUGUUUGGCUAUUUGAUUACUUUAGUGCCUUGUGGACAUACAAUUGUCAUCACAAGUUUUCCCAAUCCUUUCUCUCUCUCACGUGCUUCUCUCUUAACUCCCCACUCACUUUAUUUUCAACCAAUAACAUCAAUGCAAUGCAAUGGAAAUAAAAUUACAAGUAAUGGGACCACAUUUGACUAGUUAGAAGGAGAAAAGGGACACAUAGUCACAAAGUUGGAAAACCAAUCUUUCCCUAUUCUUUCACUUUCACGCCUAAUCACUCCACAACCACAAGAUCUCAAUCCUCUCAUCUUUCUCUUCACGCAAAAACAGAAACAAAAGCACCAUGACCCCAUUUCAUUUCUCUCUCUCUCUCGUGGAACACACCACUCAACUUCCAUUUUUCAAGCUAGAAACCACACCCCACAUGUAACAUCCCAACCUUAAUUAAUAGAGAAAUAUUAAUUUGAGAUAAUCCUUGGAAAUUAAAUGGAAAUAAGUGAAUAAGUAUAAAAGGAUAAUUAAAGGACACAAGGAAACUCUAGUGGUAAGUGGCAAGNNNNNNNNNNNNNNNNNNNNUUAAUUUACCAUAAAAGCCUAACAACCAACCCUUCCAAUUCAUUCUUUCACUUUGCAAAAGUCAGAACAUAGCACUACUCCCUACAAACUCUCUCUCACGCCCUCAAUUAGUUUCUAACCCAUUUUUCUACUCUCAAAAGCAAAACUCAGCUCAACACCACCAACCAUGGGAGUUUCUUGCAUGCAAUUCACUCAUUAGUCUCCUCGGGUCAAUUAGAGCAAGGUAAGAAUUUGAGUCUCUCACUUCUCUUCUUUCUCAAUUCACACCAUUCACCCUCUCACCCAUAUGGGUUUCAUUCUCCAACCUCUUUGGUUUGUGGCUUGCAUGUACCUAUUUUGAUGUUCUUGGAGCUGUCAUGUUUGGUUAGAAGCUAGAGAAUUAGUGGGAACUUCAAGGACUUGAUGAAUUAAUGGAAGGAGCAGAUUUGGGAAAAAGAAAGGAAUAUGAUAGUGCAAGCUUUUCAACAACAAUUAUCANNNNNNNNNNNNNNNNNNNNNNNNNNNNNNNNNNNNNNNNNNNNNNNNNNNNNNNNNNNNNNNNNNNNNNNNNNNNNNNNNNNNNNNNNNNNNNNNNNNNNNNNNNNNNNNNNNNNNNNNNNNNNNNNNNNNNNNNNNNNNNNNNNNNNNNNNNNNNNNNNNNNNNNNNNNNNNNNNNNNNNNNNNNNNNNNNNNNNNNNAAUAUACGAAUACGAAAAAUGGGUCGUUACAGAUAGUGCAAGCUUUUCAACAACAAUUAUCAGUUGCUAUCAUCUUCAAUUAAAAGGUGGGUUCUUAGGUCCCUUGCCUUAAGAAUUUAAUUAGAAGCUUAGUUACCCCAAAAAUCACACUUGUGCAUGUUAACAUAGGUUUAAUUUAGGAUAUUUGGAAUUAAACAUUAAUUGGAUUAAUUAACUAUUAGAUUAAUUCCCUACAUGUUUGAAAUGAUAGAAAUUCAUGGAAUCUAGUGUAAACAAGUGAAUUGCAAACUGUUUUGGAGUCUCUGUUUUGAGAGUUAUGCAGGAUUUUCGUGUUUGAAUCAGUUUAUGGGAGCUAUGAAUCGAUGCUAAAGCCUCCCUGGGCUUGAGAAAUGCGCGUCUGAAACUUAUGAGCAGGUUCAUGUCUUUUGUGUACCGGUGCAUAAGCUUCAGCAUGCAGUUUUUAUAAAAAAACUAGGAACCUUUGCACCGAUACGUGCCCUGUAUGAGCUGACUCAAAGCCCGAGGAACAUAGUCAUGCAGAGAUGCAUAGGUAGCAUGAAUCGGUGCAUAGAGAGCCAAAACAUAUUUUCAACAAACUUGGUUUCUUGCACCGGUACAUAUUUCCUUUGAAUUGAUGCAUCCUGGGACAACUUUUAUAUUUUAAAAGUAAUUAGAUUCCAUGGUUUCAUAUUUUCCCACAUGCUUUAAAAUUAAUCUAGACUAAGAAUUAGGUGAGGAAACUAUGAUUAUUAGAAUUACCCCGGGAUGGUUGUUAAGUUAAGAACACUAAGAAAUUAGAAUAGUCGAGUAGAUUAGUGGUUGACACCCAAACCACCAUUCAUUAUAAUUUCGACUAUAGUAAGAUUUCCGUACAUUAGUAGGAAUCCGUUAAGUUAAAUAAUUAAUGUGAGUAAGACCACCGUGGCAUAGCUAUGUCACAAUGGGUAGUGGAGAACAUCCUGAGUGGAGAACAUCCUAAGAGGAGUACAUCCUUAGUGGACCUUUCGAGAUAUACUCACCUCGGAAGCUUCCUAUAAAAUGAAUCAAGAUAACUAUUGUGUGAUACAUCUUUAGUUUCUAUUAAGAGAAUUAUUAUGUUUAAGUCAUUCUUAUGAAUGUAACGAAUUAACGAUCGAUUCCAAUAAUGAGUCCUAAGAGAUAGUUGUACCUAGAUGGGUAGCGAGGAAUCCAUUGAGACGAAGUGACUGUCUCACCCCACUCCCUUUUGAUACAGAUAAACAGGUUGCUGAGCAGAGAGCUAUGGACUGGUCGAAGUGAAGUGGCAUUGGAUGUUACUGUCAUUGUUUAUCUGGAUAUUCUAUUAAGUCGUUGUAUAAGUUAGUGUUAUAACGUGUUUGUAUUGACUGGUUAUAUAUGGCUCUGAUGUAAGUUUUAAGUUACAUUAUGACAGGAAUGUUAUCAUUCAGUUUAGUCAAUACUUGUAUAAUGACAAGGCCUUUAUGUGUUAUGGGUAUAUACAACGAGUUUAAUUCAGUAAUUUUAAUGUAUCCCGAUCUUUAUACUUACGUCUCGGCUAAUAUUCUAGAUAAAUUAGCUGGGGUGUUAUAAUUGGUAUCAGAGCAGGUCGAUCCAGUAUCGGACUUUGCCGUGGAGCAUUAGAAUUCAAGUUAAGUAGUAGGGACCCUUUGGAGUCUGGACUGUUUACGUUGAAACCAGCGCGUGCUGAGCCCGUACAACUCAGUAUCGUGUGUGGUAGGCAGGGUACUACGGUUGAGAACCGGAGUGGACUAAGGAGGUAAAGGAUGAGUAGCGCGGNNNNNNNNNNNNNNNNNNNNNNNNNNNNNNNNNNNNNNNNNNNNNNNNNNNNNNNNNNNNNNNNNNNNNNNNNNNNGUGAAAACACGAAGUUAGGUGGAAGUGUAAACGGAGGACUGUAGAGGCAAACUUCAGAGCUACAACAGUCAAUGCAACGAAAGUAAGCAGUGUGUCACCAUUGAGUGUUGUAAAAGAUUCGACGAAUGAUAAGUGGCUUAAUACCCAUAUAUAGGAGUAGAAAUUGCCCCGGAUAAUGCGUUGAAUGCGGAAGCCACAAUCAGGACUGUGUAUGUAAAGACGACCAGAUGUUAUAGAUGCGAAGAGUCAAAUGCCUUGUAAAAGAUUGGAAUUGAAGGGAUAACAGUCGUGUUGAAGUUUGAAAUUUAUAGCAAGGCUGGUUUAGAGUGACGCAACUGUAAGUUGGAGAAUAAGACAAAUGUCGGAGUUGAGAUGGCUGAGAGCAAAUGAAGCAAUUUGGCAGUUCCUUCGGGACAGCAAGUUAGGAAUUAAGUAGGCCGGAAAUUGAACCGUCGCUUUGCUGGAAUGCAUGUAUAAGUGAGGCCUUACAACAAUACCUGAGGAGGCGACGUAAGAGUGUCAAUUGAUGGAUGAUCAAUUUAGACGUCGGAGUAAGGACGACGAUGUUUCUAAUUUACGCAAUAAUACAGUUGAUGGAGUAGUUAACGACCACAAGCAAUGAAGGUUUAGUUUGUGAUGCCAUACGACAGAUGAUUUAACAAUGUGACAAGAAAUAAAAAUAAUCAGUGAAGUAUUUAGUAGACUGACUGUUGGGAGUAAGUACAAUGGAAGAAUGUUUGGACUACCCUGGUAGAAUAAAAGAAAUACCGAAUGAAGGUGUUCAAGCCCAAAUUUUAAGUAUGGAUGCAGUGCCUGAGAGUCAGACAUUACCCAACCAACAAUUGCAUAUAUGGAGCUGUGAGGCUGAUGGUCAGUAGUGUGCGACUGAUAUCUGGAGGUUUUGUUGAGUGAACCAUGGAAGUUGAAAAUAAUAAAUUGUCAAGCCAGACGGAGGACCCCCUUAACUCUAUGAGAGAGUGGAAUGUAAGCUAGACAGGAAAUAAUCAAAAGAAUUUAUGUGGCGUAUAGACCCUUACGCUUGAGUUAUCCACCCAUCUAUGUAAACCUUACCUCAACCGGAUUUAUCAAAUCAAGUAGUGUGACCAUAAUCUGGCUGAAGUUGUAUCAUCAGUUACCUAUACUUUCGUGCAAAUUCUAAAUUCUACCAAACCCUUCGAAUCGAGCGAUUCCUGAUUCGUACUUAGUAAGCCUUACAAAUUUCUUGAGCAUUACGUUCCCGGAACUUAUCUAAUCUAGAUAGAGAGAUAAAUCACUUACCUUUAGUGUAAGAAUUCAAGCAAGUUGCGAAUCUUUCUAAUUCCUUAAUGCCAGCUAAUUGGAUUCACAUUCAGAUUAUUAUCCUAUGUGACUCUAAUGGAAUGUCUUCAGUUUUCAGCCUUGUUGUCAGUGAUCAAUUCGGAUCGAUGUAAGCUCGAAAGACUUGUUAAGAGUAAUAAAUCAUGUUUGAUGACGAAUCGUCACACUCUCUAAUCCAGGCCUAUUUUAGCAACAUUGGAUGCANNNNNNNNNNNNNNNNNNNNNNNNNNNNNNNNNNNNNNNNNNNNNNNNNNNNNNNNNNNNNNNNNNNNNNNNNNNNNNNNNNNNNNNNNNNNNNNNNNNNNNNNNNNNNNNNNNNNNNNNNNNNNNNNNNNNNNNNNNNNNNNNNNNNCCGACCUUUUAGUUUCAUUACUGAUGACCGGUGCAGAACCACAUAAGUUGAAUCAAUCAUUAAGGGUCAUGAGUAAUUUCAGUUUAAGUAUUGUCUCGUUUAAUUGUGAACAAAACCAUUAAGAUACCUUGAACGUUAAAAACGUUAAAUUCGGCGAAUUCAGUUCUAUUCUAUGUACCAUGUUAGACUAGUAUUAACUCUGAGUAUCUUUGCCAUAGUAAUCCAGCUCUCUAAUCUGUUAUCGAUAAUCAGUUCAAGUUAGUAUAAGGUGGAAUUACUUGUGUACAGUAAUGACUUGCUAUCAAUUGAGAAUUAUUUCUUGUCAUAUUCAAUCCGUUAAUUGACCCACUAAUCAUCCAGAGUCAAGCAACUCAAUUCAUUCUCAGCAUUAGAAGUUCAAAAAUACCUUACGUGUUUAGCUAGCCAGAUUUAGAAUUCGACUGUUUUUGCCAAAUUUCCAUCAUGUUAGCUUAUUAGUUGAAUUUUCAAACAAGUCUAACCCUUAAGAGAAAAUUCGAACUGAAGUUCAUAUGCAUGUUAAAUGUACAACUCGUUCACUGUGUUGUACUAGGAUGGAUUGAAAUUGUAAGUGGAAAUUUUCCCAAGGAACUAUAGGUCUGUUUGCGAAUCAGUUGAACUUGUUGACAAAAGGAUCUGUAGUAUUUAGACACUCUUCCACUCAUUUUAUAUUUCAAUCGAUCCUAGAGUAUUUAAACAACGCAUGUGUUAUGUAGUGGUACAUAUGACAUGUCAGACUCUGUAGUGUUCAGAAAUGAGAUCAACCAUGAGAAUGAAGAAAUUUUUCAAAAACAAGUCUGAGAAGAUAUACCAAGAAGAUUUUUGGAUUAGUUGGUAAUUGUAGCCAAGUUUAUACCCUCAAGAUAACUUUAUGACAUCGGUUAGUGUUUCGUGUUUCAAAGUGUAACCAACCAGGCCAGAUACCGACCUACUAAGUUAGUGAGUAACGAAAUUGUUGCUGGGAGCAAUAAAAGGAGUUUAACCGUAGCAGAGGACAGUAAAACAAGAAGUUAAGCAGAAUCAACUCCCAGAUAACAUCAGUAGAGUAGGUAAUAGUUGUUGAUUGAAUCAGAUAAGUUACCACAAGUGAAUUAUGACGUGACGAAGAAACUUAGUGAAAAGAGCGACACAUUGAGGAGGUCUGAAGUAUGAGACAACAUUAAGUAAUGUAAGUUGAUGUGUCGCGAGCGUGCUAGAAUGUAGUGAAUAUUGAAAUUUAGUGGUGCUUCUGACGUCACGAAGUGUAACAAGUGUUACUUUGUGAUUUCCAACGAUAGAAGGAGUAAUAACAGUUGAAGUAACGCCGAAUAAGAUAAGACAAUGUGUGACAUUAUCCAGGAAACUUUGGACCAAGACUGCAAUGACGCAGUCAAGAGGAUGACAGUAAGUAGUCGAAAUCAGAGUGCACAACAAGUGAUAGUUGGGAAUGAAGUCAGAAGACUGGCUUUUGGGCCAACAGCUCUUCGAAAGAGGAAAGUUUUAUUCCAAGGAAUUUGAUAUGAAUGACUGUAAGGUGACUAAUGAACGCAUGCCGAAGGAAGUAGGCGUUCAUAAAGGCGUGAACCCGUGAAUCUAAAGAAUAGAGCGGGAGAUGCUAAUGUGUCCGGAGCGAAUGGAAUAAGAAGUAACAAAAAAAAAGGACGAGUAUAACACGAACGCAUACCCAAGAGUUAUAUUAAUGGACUGAAGUUGAAGGUUCAUGAAAGCAUAAGUAACAAUUCUUGGUAGUAAACAGACAAAAAGUGUAGUAAGGUGUGAUGAGUAGUGAUCUUUUGAAUCCCGUAGGCGAGCUGAAGUCGGAAACUCGAACGAUUAUCCUAACGGUGAAUGAAGAAGUUCCGAAUUUCGAGGACGAAAUUCUUUUAAGGGGGGUAGAUUGUAACAUCCCAACCUUAAUUAAUAGAGAAAUAUUAAUUUGAGAUAAUCCUUGGAAAUUAAAUGGAAAUAAGUGAAUAAGUAUAAAAGGAUAAUUAAAGGACACAAGGAAACUCUAGUGGUAAGUGGCAAGNNNNNNNNNNNNNNNNNNNNNUUAAUUUACCAUAAAAGCCUAACAACCAACCCUUCCAAUUCAUUCUUUCACUUUGCAAAAGUCAGAACAUAGCACUACUCCCUACAAACUCUCUCUCACGCCCUCAAUUAGUUUCUAACCCAUUUUUCUACCAAGAACCACGUAGGUCCAACAGGAUACGUCAAGAACCUGAAAGAUAUGGAUAUCUCAUAUCGGAACAAGGUGAUGUAUUACUCAUGGAUCAAGAUGAGCCUGUGACUUACCAAGAGGCCAUUACUGGCCCUUAAUCUAAGAAGUGGCUUGAAGAGAUGAAAUCUGAAAUGGAUUCCAUGUACACAAACCAAGUUUGGAACUUGGUGGAAGCUCCUGAUGGGGUCAAGCCCAUAGGAUGCAAAUGGGUCUUCAAGAAGAAGNNNNNNNNNNNNNNNNNNNNNNNNUAUAAAGCGCGAUUGGUUGCUAAAGAUUUCAAACAAAUUCAUGGCGUAUACUAUGAUGAAACCUUUUCACCAGUUGCGAUGAUUAAAUCCAUUCGGAUCUUACUUGUCAUCGCCGCAUACUAUGAUUAUGAAAUUUGGCAGAUGGAUGUAAAAACAGUCUUCCUUAAUGGGAGUCUCCUUGAGGAUGUGUACAUCACACAACCUGAAGGUUUUUGCAUUCCAGGUGAAGCCAAAAAGAUAUGCAAAUUACAGCGAUCAAUCUAUGGAUUAAAGCAAGCUUCCAGAAGUAGGAAUCUUCGUUUUGAUGAAACUGUGAAACAGUUUGGAUUCAUCAAGAAUGAAGAUGAACCUUGUGUUUACAAAAAGGUUAGUGGGAGCAUAGUCGUGUUCCUAGUAUUGUAUGUAGAUGAACAAAGUUAAAACUUGGUUAGGGAAUUGCUUUUCUAUGAAAGAUCUGGGUGAAGCAGCCUAUAUAUUAGGAAUAAGAAUCUAUAGAGAUAGAUCUCAGAAACUGCUUGGCUUAAGGCAGAGUACAUACAUAGAUNNNNNNNNNNNUGAUUCCAAGAAAGGAUUCAUUCCUAUGCAGCAUGGCUUGUGUCUUUCGAAAACACAAUCCCCUUCGUCUAAGGAAGAAAGGGAUCGCAUGAGUAAGAUUCCUUAUGCAUCAGCUAUAGGAUCUAUUAUAUAUGUAUGCCAUGAUAUGUACUCGUCCAGAUGUUUCAUAUGCCUUAAGCGCAACGAGCCGAUAUCAGUCUGAUCCUGGUGAGGCUCAUUGGGUAGCUGUCAAGAAUAUCCUAAGUACUUAAGAAGGACUAAGGACUCAUUCCUUAUAUAUGGAGGUCAAGAAGAGCUAAAUGUAAUUGGUUACACUGAUGCUAGCUUCCAGACAGAUAGGGAUGAUUUUAGAUCGCAGUCUGGUUUUGUGUUUUGCAUAAAUGGUGGCGCUGUGAGCUGGAAGAGUUCAAAGCAAGAUACAGUUGCUGAUUCUACAACGGAAGCUGAGUACAUUGCCGCAUCAAAUGCAGCAAAGGAAGCUGUUUGGAUAAAGAAGUUCAUUACUGAACUUGGCAUAUUCCCUAGCAUUGUGGAUCUCAUUGAUCUGUUUUGUGAUAACAAUGGCACAAUCGCACAAGCUAAGGAGCCUAGAUCUCACCAAAAGUCCAAACAUAUACUCAGGUGCUAUCAUCUUAUUCGAGAAAUAAUUGAUAGAGGAGAUGUGAAGAUAUACAGAGUACCAACACUCGACAAUGCUGCUGACCCACCUACAAAACCUCUUGCUCAGCCGAAGCAUGAGGGCCAUACUAGGAACAUAGGUAUUAGGAGUAUGCCUGAUUGGCUCUAGUGCUAGUGGGAGAUUGUUGGUGUAAGCCCUAGAGGCCAAUUAUUUAUGAUUGCAUGAUACUUGUAUUGAAUAAUUCAUUUAUUAANNNNNNNNNNNNNNNNNNNNNNNNNUUAAGUGGAACGUUAAGUAUGACUUAAUCGUGAGAAUCCAUUAAACAUAAGAACACUAUUCUUAAAGCAUCCGUAGUCAAGCUUUAAAGUGAAAUGGGAUAACAUUAAAGCAUAGAGGUUAUUAUGUUGGUAGACUGAUGAUCACAUCUCACGGAUCAUAGAUAAAGAGUUAUCAAGUCUUCACAUAGAUAUAAAUGUUAAGGGUAACAUUUGUAUCGGAUUGACCCACCGUGAGAAUACUACAUAGUGUGUUAUGAAAUGUCAUAAGAUAUUCUCAUAGUGAUAAGUGGUGUAUUCCACCCUUCGACCUUAAAUCACUAUGUACCCUAGAUGUAGGAGUGUAUUACCUUGUUGCCACUCAAACGUUAUCCGUAACAGGAUGACUAUAAAGUUGGUUGAUGGGUAUUCCACGAAUCAUGCUGAGGGACAUAAGUGACCUAGAUGGAAUUUGCCCCUCCUACAUAACAUGAGAUAUGUCUAUGGGCCCAAUAUUGAACUUAGCAAGGGUGACAUACUAUGCCUUCUGUUCAAUAUAGACAUAAGGGUAAAAGGGUAAUUAUACACAAGAUAUUUAUUACGGAAAGGUUUGUCAGAUCACGUGACAUUCUUGUGACUUGGGUAGCAGUGAUGUGUUGCUAGAUACCGCUCACUGUUUAUAAUAUUGAGAUUAAUAUUAUUNNNNNNNNNNNNNNNNNNNNNNNNNNNNNNNNNNNNNNNNNNNNNNGCACUAAAUCUCCCUCUACCGUCGUCUUGCAGCUAGCACUAAGAGGUGAACGGAAACUGUUUGUGUGGACCGGCUAGAGGUGCUGCGAUCGUGCGGUACUUGUGAUCGACUCAGAAUCGAGGAAUUUGUUCUUCAAAGGUAAUAACCGAAACCCUGAUCAUGUCCAUUCGCAAGGAUCCAUCGAAGGAAAAUUUUAAUUUCCGCUGCGUUUUACAUCUCUGUUUUACUACGAUUUUCCUUCAAAUUAUGCGUUUAAUAAACACUCACCUGAAUUGCUUGCCACUCUGUCGUGCACGCAUAAUCGUCCUCGACGUCGCCACCAACUUCUUCAUCUUGGAAAAACAUUAUCUUCCAAUGUUUGUACACCUCAUCGAGACUAAUGGGCCUAUUGUGUAGCAGUUUCUUGGCAAUCAAACACGCACAUGGCAGCCCGUAGUUAGUCCUCAUCAGACAACCACACUUCAUGCUAUCCAUACCAGUAAACUCGACUCUUUGUGAUUCAGUGUUGAUGUAUUUCAAUGCACAUCUAGAGACUUUAAACAUCAAAGUCGAGUAAAGAGCUUGAUCCCGGUAUGUGUGUCCAUAAACAGACAUGUUCUGGCCAAAUUCAGUUUGUACUUGGGUGAAUUGAUUGCCUAACAUUCUGUGUAUCGAUUCCCAACCCUUCACCAAAUCACCGAGACCGUCAGUCAAGUAACCUUUCAAGACGCCGUGGGCGCUUUCGGCUCUAUUUGUGGUAUGGUUGCCCAUGUGCAUAUACUUGUCCACCCACGCACUCACAACCUUCUCUUUGUCGGUGUCCAAAAUUGUCUCUUCAACGUACCGCACAAAUUUUGGCCACCUCUCACAUAACUUCCUAAAAGUCAUAACAUUUUCAAUAUACUCGGCCUCAGUACACGAAUCUAACACAUCCGCAAAAGCCAAACAGACUUUUUCCCUCAUGUCCGACGCCUUGACCUUUUCUCCAUCCCUCACCUUAACCAGCUCGGCUGCCUUGGUCCUCACAUUCUUCGUAACAUGGAACCGACAAACCAACGCUGCCGCUUCUGGAAACACAGCCGGAAUAGCAUUCAUCAAUGCUAAAUCUCGAUCCGUCAAGAUAACCUUCGGCAAAUUUGCUUCACGCCUUAACAGACAACGCAGUUGUUGCAGAGCCCAUANNNNNNNNNNNNNNNNNNNNNNNNNNNNNNNNNNAACUUUAAGUUAUUUAUCGAGAAAUUUAAUUAACGCGCGAGUUAGUGAGAGUUAAUGCGUUAUUGGGUCAGCCAAUUGGGCUUGAGGCCCAAUGGGCCUUGUGGACUUGUGAGGGGGCGCCCAUAUAGCCUAAAGGGAGAGAGAAACAUUUCAUUUUCUCAUGUUCUUGUGAGAUUCUAGAGAGAAGGAAGAGAGGAGAAGCUAGGGCAAGGGAAAAGUGAAGAGAUUCAAGAGCAAUCUUCGAGUUUUCUUCGAAUCCAGGUAAGAGAGUAGAUUUCAUAUUCGUGGGUGAUACGAGAAAGGGGAGAAUGUCGAUUCCGUACCCGAACUUUCUCCACCCCAUUUUCGUUUGGGUUUUUGGGUGAUUUUCUUAAAGAAAAUGAUAGAGAAUGUUCAUAACAUGUUUAAUAUACUUUUAUCAUGUAGUAUGAACGAUUUUGUGGGUUAAAAUUGGGAAAUUGUAGAUGUUUGAUCAAGAACUUUGUGGUUUAUGAGUUUUUGAGUAAAAAUGAUAAAUCCUUACUUUUUCGAUGUAUUUGAUGUAGAUCUGAGAAUCAAUCUGUCCUUUUAUGUUUAUAUAUAUGUUAUGUACAUGAAGAUAAACUUAUUUGGGAUUUAUAACAUGAAAAAUGGGAUUUUUGGGUGAUUUGGUGUGAAAAACACGAAGUUUGAACAUUGUUGUCAGAAGGCUGUCUCUAAGCCUUCGCUUAGCGAACAGGUGGCGACUGCUGCUAUCCUGAGGCCCUCGCUAAGCGACCAGCUGGCUGUCGCUCGCUGUCGCUCGCCAGAAGCUGUCCAUGCACUGACUUUUGCUCGCCAUCCCUCGCUAGGCCGUCGCUAAGCGACCAGUACUGUGCAGAACAUGUUUUGUUGAUGUUUUAAAGUGCAAUUAGGNNNNNNNNNNNNNNNNNNNNNNNNNNNNNNNNNNNNNNNNNNNNNNNNNNNNNNNNNNNNNNNAUUAUGUUAUUCGAUAAAGACGUAUAUUAAGGUAUAGUGUUAUCUUAAUAAAGAAGAAAUGUUGGAUAGUGUUCCACAUUAUAAAUGAAGAGCUUAAUGUUAUUGAUUGUGAGUGAAUUCAUGAAAUACAUGCAUUCAUAGAAUAUAUGUGAUAUUGGAUAUUCCAAUAAAGAAGGAUAUUGGAUUAUAUUUAUCCGAUAAAGAAGGAUAUUAGAGGUGAGAUACUCUAAUAAAGAAGAUAGUACCACAUGCAUUAGAAAUGUCUAGGAUGACAUAUCAUGAAGUUGAAGCAUUAGAUUUGCAUUAGGUUAUGUGUACAUUAUAUGAUAAUUGGUAUGUGACACAUAAUUGAAAUUGUUUGAUGUAUUUGUCUACAUGAUGAUGGAUAAGUGACAUUAUUUGUACUUGUUGAUGAAAUGUCUUUAUGUGUUAGACAUUAAUUGUUUGAUGAUUACGAAUGAAGUUUUAUUUCAAUUAUGUGGUAUUCAUAAGUAAUUGAAUAUGAAGCAUGCUAAUGAGUUAGAAUAUGAUGAAGUGUUAUGUUUAUUUACUUACACUUGGAUAUUAUUUGAGUAUGACUUCUAACUCUCUUUUAUGUGUUAUGUGCUGGACCGUUGGGGGUCCAGAUUUUACAGGAUAUGUGUCUUUCGUUGUUCGAGUCUUUGGUGAAGCNNNAGAUUGGAAAAAUGUAUCUUUUAUAAGGGAAUUUAUAUUGUAUAAAACGAGUUUUUAUUAAGUAAUCAUGUUAGUAUUAUUUUGUAAAGUGGAGUGUAAUACCUAGAACUAAUAUUCUAUAAAUUAAAUUGAAAUUUUCCGUUGCGUAUUUUGAAAAAGAUUUAAUAAAGGAAGAA